ACUCCAUCCCACUCCAUGAUCCAAAUAAGCCCUCAUUUCAAUUAAAAAUAUAAUUUAAAACAUUUCUAAUUGUUCGGGGGUUGUUUAAAAAUUCAAUCCCUUCCGUGAAAACAAAAUUCCCCGAGGGUCGAGGGUCCAAAUGAAAAUGAAACGGUUUUACUAAAAAUGGAGAACACGGGAAUUCUGAAGGAGUGGUUUGAUCGAGUGGAUUCGGCGAACUCUGGAAGUAUCACGGCUCCUCAGCUUCAGAAUGCUCUGGCGGUUGGAAACCUCAACUUUCCCCACUCAAUUGUGCAGCAAAUGAUCAGAAUGUAUGAUUUUGACAGAAAUGGAACUAUGAGCUUCGAAGAGUUCGUAGCUCUCAACAAGUUCCUCCUUAAGCUUCAGCAAGCCUUCUCUGACUUGGAAAGAGGUCGUGGUUAUCUAGUCCCAGAUGAUGUAUAUGAGGCUUUGGUUAAAAUUGGCUUCACGCUGGACUCUCCAGCUUUUUAUACUGUCUGCGAGAGCUUUGAUCAAAAGAAAAAUGGGAGAUUUCGGCUAGACGACUUCAUAUCUCUCUGUAUAUUUGUUCAAUCAGCUGGGUAGGUUCAUUUGGAAGCAAUUUUGUGCAUUUAUGAAAGAGAAUUUAUCUUCCGUCUUUUGACCACCUAGUGGAGAUGCUUGGGAAUUUGUUUAAUUCCUUUGAUACAGCAAAACAAGGCAAGGUGACUCUAGAUCUCAACCAAUUUGUCUAUUGCAGUGAGUAUCUGACUGCUAAUUGCAGAAUAUGAAAGUGUAAAUAUUUGACGAAGAGGGGAGCAUACCGUAAUACUAGAAUGGUGGUUCCCAUUUUCAUACCGUAAUGCUAAUUGCAGAAUAUGUGCAAACUUUGGAUCUAGAAUGGUGGUAUUUCAACUGUGAACUUAUUUUUCAGUAGCAUAUGUAUCGUGUUUGUUUAUCUGUUGGUUUUGAUCAUUGUCUUUGACGCUGGAAAAGGCUCAUGUGAUUAGAGUACCAUUAAUUCAUUUCUAUACCUCUUCUGUA